rnacentral:rRNA from 1 species
UGCGGCGUGCCUAAUACAUGCAAGUCGAACGAGAGCUAGUAAUAGUUCUUAGUGGCGAACGGGUGAGUAACGCGUUGGUGACCUGCCCCGAAGAAUGGGAUAACAGCUUGAAAGGGCUGCUAAUACCAUAUGUGGUCAUAGAGAUUAGAAGCUUAUGACGAAAGGGAGAAAUCCGCUUCGGGAGGGGCCUGCGUCCCAUCAGCUAGUUGGUAGGGUAAUGGCCUACCAAGGCGAAGACGGGUAGGGGGCCUGAGAGGGCGACCCCCCACACUGGCACUGAAACACGGGCCAGACACCUACGGGUGGCAGCAGUAGGGAAUAUUGCACAAUGGGCGAAAGCCUGAUGCAGCAACGCCGCGUGCGCGAAGAAGGCCUUCGGGUUGUAAAGCGCUUUUCGGGGAGAUGAGGAAGGACAGUAUCCCCGGAAUAAGGCUCGGCUAACUACGUGCCAGCAGCCGCGGUAAAACGUAGGAGCCAAGCGUUAUCCGAAUUCACUGGGCGUAAAGCGCGUGCAGGCGGCUCGGUAAGUUGGAUGUGAAAGCUCCCGGCUCAACUGGGAGAGGACGUUCAAUACUGUCGGGCUAGAGGAUGGCAGAGGGAGGUGGAAUUCCCGGUGUAGUGGUGAAAUGCGUAGAUAUCGGGAGGAACACCAGUGGCGAAGGCGGCCUCCUGGGCCAUGCCUGACGCUAAGACGCGAAAGCUAGGGGAGCAAACGGGAUUAGAAACCCCGGUAGUCCUAGCUGUAAACGAUGUAGACUUGGUGUUGGUGGGGUAAAAGCCAUCAGUGCCGCAGCAAACGCGAUAAGUCUACCGCCUGGGGACUAC